AUGGCCACCAAGGGCUACCAGGCUCAAGCCCCGGCGAUGCCCGCGGCGGGAGAGCGCGCCGGCUCCGGCGGCGGCAACAAGGCGCCGACCGGGAGCACGCCGAGGCGCGGCCAGAUCAAGGAGAAGAUCAUCAAGGACGUGAUCACCGCGGUCACCAACCUGGCCGCCGGGCUCGUCCGCGCCGACAAGAACGACGCCAGCACGGGCGGUCUCCCGGCCGCCGGCGACGCCGACGCCAAGUGA
rnacentral:rRNA from 1 species